UAGGAUGGUUUUGAAGCUGCAAGGGAGAGAAUAAGGGAAACUUUUGGGAAAGUAGAGUUAUCUCCUUCUUCCUAUGACACAGCAUGGGUAGCUAUGGUCCCUUCAAAACAUUCACUAAAUGAGCCAUGUUUUCCACAAUGUUUGGAUUGGAUUAUUGAAAAUCAAAAGAGAAGAUGGAUCUUGGGGACUAAAACCUAGCCAUCCAUUGCUUCUCAAGGACUCUACUUUCUUCCACUCUUGCAUGUUUGCUUGCACUAAGCAAAUGGAGAGUUGGAGAUGAGCAAAUCAAAAGAGGUAAAUGGAUUUUAUUUGUUCAAGUCAUCACUACUAUGUUAUUCCCUCUAGUUCAUUUUUAUUUGUCAUAUUUAUUUCUACAUAUUUUUUAAGAAGAUAUUAACUAAACUAAAUUAUCAUUAUUUAAUCUUGAUCUCAAUUUAAUAGAGUAAGAGUAAAGGUGAAAACUAGUAGUACUCCCUCCUGAUCACUUUAUAAUUUGUUGUUUUUACUAAAAAUAAAUGACCCAAAAUAGUUGUAAUUUUAAAAAAUCAAAACAUAAAUGAAUACAUUAUUUCCAUAAAUGAAAAGUAUAUACACAUAUUUUAAUAUUGUGGUUACUAAUAUUUAAUUCUCUUAUUGAAGAGAGAUUAAAGCUAUAAAAAAAUAUUUAUUGAAUAGAAAUUAUUAACAUUUUAAAUAAUUGAAGAUAAUUAACAGGGAAAUAAUGAUUAAUCAGAACACAUUUUUUAAGGAGACGUUUAAAUAAAAAAUGUGACAAAUAAAAUGGUUUAAGAGGGUAAUUAAUUAUAUUUUCAUAUUUUAAAAUAAUAAUCAUCUUGAUCAAUUUUUAAUAAGUACGAUAAUUAAAAUGAAUUAAAAAUGGAAAAAUAUUUUGAACAGAAAAUAAUACUCGUGAUGCUUUUUUGAAUAGCGUGCUUUUUGCGAAAGAAUAAUUGAAUUUUAUGUGUCCUUUCCUUCUUGUCAAAAAAAUAACAAAACAAAAUACCUGUCGCUAGGGAGAGCCGUUUUAAAUUUUUUAUUAUUAUUAUAGUAAUAGAGAUAUAGUGGUAAUCCACUAAAUUUUUUCUUUUAGUGACCAUUUUAUUACCAUAAAAUAUUUAAUAGUAAUUGAGUUAAUGUCUUUAUAUUUAUAGUCACUAAAUUCUUUAAUAAUAUUCAUAUAAAGUGUUGAUUAUAAAUACUCAUAUUAUAUUAUUACAGCAAAAUUCUUUACUUUUGGUAAUAUAUGCAGGUAUAAACUAAAAAUAUAAUUUAUAAUAUAUUAUGUUGGACGGUAUAUUAUUUAAAAAUUUCCAAAAUAAAUCAUAUAUAAAGGAGAAACAUAGACAAGGUGAUGUGACACCUCUCUAUGGCCUCCAUUCCUAAAUUUUUUUUCUCCUUUUUUUGGACAUUUUUUAAUUUUUCUCCUCAUUUUUAAUAUAAUUAUUAUUUGUAUAUAAUUAAUGUUUUGUUGUAAUAUAUCAUAUUAAUGUGGAUGUCCAUAAUUCAAGAUAUAAUUUCACCAUUAUGUGUAAUAAUACUCACACCUCGACCAUCUCCUCAUUCAUCUUCCACACCCUUUAAAUUCCCCACAUUCUCAAUAAUUAAUAUCAUGUUUAUUGCUAUCUCUUUGUAUGCCUCUUAAACAAUAUAAAUAGAGGUCUUGAGUAUGUGUUAUGCACUUGAAGAUUUAGAAAACACUUGAAUAUACUUGGAAGAAUAAGAAAAUUCUCUCUUGUCUCUCUACAUUUCUUGUCUAUUUUCUCACUUUAUUACUCUUUUUAGUUUUGUUUUACUAUAUAUUUUCAUUCUUAGUAAAAGUUAAAAUGUUAUAUCUUAUUGUAUUUACCUUACAACAAAAAUAAAUGUACUGAUACUUGUAUGCCUAUCUUAAGAUACUUGUAUGCCUACCUUCACAUCUUUUGAUAUAUUUUGUCUUCUUUAUAUAUUUUAUUCAUAUAUUUAUUUUUAGAUUAAUUUCAUUUCAAUAUUCAUUGAUCUCUUUGUAUAAUAAUCAAACAUUGAGGUUUGACGUAUAUCAUAUUCGUUCUAAGGAAUAAAAUUCUUCAAAUCAAUCAAAAAUAACAUGUAUUGACACAAAGGGAAGUUCAGUUGUUAUGCAUUUUUUGCUUUAGUAUAGUAUAAAUAAAAAAUAUCAUGUAGUGACGCAAAGGGAAAUUAAGUUGUUAUGCAUUUUUAGCUUUAGUAUAAUAUAUAAUUGUAGAAGUAAUUUAAUUUUUUAUAUAUAGUUUUUCCUCAUAUUAUUAGAUCUUUGUUUAAAAAAUAUCUAUUGUGAUGUCCUUUUUGUUCUUGUGAAACAAUUCAUUCACAUAUAAUCGGAAUUAUAGUCUUACAAAUUAAUGCAUUGAAUAUUUCAAUCAAGUUUAAUAUUUUAAUGAAUGAAAAUUCUCAAUUAAAUUCUUAAAAAUUAUAUGAUAUGAUCACAAAAAAUAUUCAAAAGAAAAAUACUUGAAAUAUCUACCUUUAGAUUUAUUAUUGUUUGCCUGCAAAUAAUUUCCUUAAAUCAAUAUAGUACAUUUUCACUGAAAGACUAAAAGUGCUUAAGAAAAUUAAUUUUUAAAAAUAAAAAAAUAUAUACACAAGAAAAAGAAAAAAAAAUCACCACAAAUAUAUGACACUCACAUUUCAACUAAUUAAAUAUCUAGAAGAAUCAUAAUUCGCUAUAAAACUCAAUUGAGAGAGAAAAGAAGAAGAAACGGACUUUCAUGCAUAUGAGUUUUCUUAGUUCAUGGUAUUUAAGUAUGAUUAUAGAAAUUGUUAGAAUAGUUAUAUUUUGUAAGACUUAAAUGUUUUUUCAUUGCUCCACACUCAUUAAGAUAUGUAAUGUUUCUAUUGUCUUUGGAAGGAAAAAGUUAAGCGUUAAUGAGGCAUAUAUAUAUAUAUAUCUUGCCCGUUAGCCUUUUCUAUAAAUUUUCAAAUAGAUUGAACAUAUUAUUUUCUUUUUAGUAUUACUUUAUGCAUUUAUGAAUCUUGAAAACUUAAAAAACUUCAUAACUUGAUUAAAUUUUUUUUGAAUACCAUUAUAUUUAUACCUACUCACCAAACGAAGAUCAACAUUUCACAAAAAAAUGUAUUUAGUAGAAAAACGGAUGAAAUUUAUUUUUGUGUUUAUAUUCUUCUUUUUUUUACGAUACAAUGAGAUGUGUUUUUAAAGAAAUUUCUUGAUAUCAUGUUUUCAUUUAAUUACUUCUUGAGUAGCAAAGACUAAUUAAAUAAAUAGAUAACUUAGUGAAGAAAUAUAUAGUCAAAGGUCUGCUAACAAGCUAUUUUUAUACGUAUUUUUUCAUAUUUACUUAAAACAAAAAAUAUAUAAUGUGUUUAUGUAACUUUUGGUUUAGAAUUUGAAAACUUAAGUUUUGAAAAAGACUUUUAUGUAUAUUAUAAUUUCUUCUAUUUAGAUCAUACGUUUGAAAGAAAUAUUGAAAAUAAAAUUGAUUAUAUUUUUUGAUGAUUUUAAUAUUCGAGUAUUAAAAAGAAAAAAAAAAUAAACCAUGAAUUUGGUGGGCAUCUGACCAUAUAUAAUUAGAAAUUAAAUAUUUUUCAUUUCACUAGAAAAUUUUAAAAUUAGAGUUGUGUUUUGUUAUAUUUUUUUUCACAAAUGAGACAAAUAACAUUUUAUUUGAAAUUUUAAACAUGGAGGUUUAAUUUGAAUUUUUCAUAGCCAAAAUUAAUUUUUAAAUAAAGUAAAAAUUAUAUCAUAAAAAAGACGGGUGAUAUAAUUUAUUUCUCCGUGCGAAGCGCGGAUAAGUUCACUAGUUUUAUUAUAUACUUGAAGAGUUACUUCAUUUUCUUUCAGGUCUUGGCUUCAUUGAAACGUAUGGUUGGGCAGUAGAUAACAAGGAUCAAAUUUCACCUCUAGGAUUUGAAAUUAUAUUUUCUAGUAUGAUCAAAUUUGCAGAGAAAUUAAACUUAAAUUUGCCUUUGGAUCUUGAUAUUAUUGUAAAUUUGGUGAAUUGCAAAAGAGAUUCAACAAUUAAAAGGUACAUAUUUCGUAUUACUUUAAAAAAAAAUUAAUUUUAUGAGUUCGGCAUAGAGGAAAAAUAUUUUUCUUCCCACCUCACUACCCCACACCUUCAUCUCUCAUAAUAUUUUUCUAAAUUAUAUACAAAUAUUUUUUUUUACUUACGUAUCAAAUACAAAAAAAUAUAUCAUUUUAUUUUUCUAAAAAAUAUUUUUCUUCCCAUCGAACACACCUUUAUACACUUAUUUUCUGACUAUAUAUAUCUAAACAUUUACCAAAUAAUUUCACUAGGAAUGAUGAAUAUAUGGGUGAAGGACUUGGUGAAUUAUGUGAUUGGAAGGAGAUAAUAAAGUUACAUCAAAGACAAAAUGGUUCAUUAUUUGAUUCACCAGCCACUACUGCAGCUGCCUUGAUUUAUCAUCAACAUGAUAAAAAAUGCUAUGAAUACCUUAAUUCAAUCUUGCAAAAACACAAAAAUUGGGGUACGUACCAUGAUCAAUAUAGCAUUUUUUUAUGCAUAUGAAAAAUCACUCUAUUUGUUUCAAUUUAUUUGUUUUAUUUUCAUUUUAAAAAAAUGUCUUUUUCCGACCCUAAGCUAGAACAUGGGCCGAUCUAUGAGGUUCAGGACUUUAACUGGCCCAACUAUCUUACGGAGGGGCGGAGCUAGCCUACUGUUAGAGGUUCAUCCUGUUGGAAAAGGCAAGCACAAAAUAAAUGUGCACAAUAGGGCAAUAGGGGAAGAAAAUCCAAGUCAAAACUUUCCCUUCUAUUUGAAUCAAGAGAAGACAAAAUAAUGCAAGAAUAAACACUGUUUGGGUGUGAAGAGUAAAAACCACAAGGCCAAAGCUCCACUAUAAUCAACAAGAGUUACAAAAGUGUUCUCCAAAAUGGUCACCAACAAAGUGCCAAACAAUGAGCAACACAACUACAAGAUAGCACAAAAAAUAGAGAAAUAAAAGGAACAAAAACACCAAAUCGCAGCUACUGUUCACGAACAAAAAUCUGGAGCUACAGGACUCCAAAUCACCCUCUCUUAGUUCUCAAUCAAAGAUUAAGUUGAAAGGAACAAGUUAUCCAAAAAUUAGCUCAAUCAGAUGAGAAACAAAGCGGAAAUUGCAAUUUGAAAUUGGCUGCUAGGGAUUGUGCGAAAAUCUGCACUUUUUCAGUUUUCUCUCUAUAUGGCUGCUCUCAAUCUCUUGUGAUGUCUCUAAAAUAGGACCUAAAAGAAAGUUUUAUAUAUGCACCAUAAUAUUGGGCUUAUGGGCAAAAGUGAGCUAGUCAAAUUUGGGCUAAAUUUAUCCACAAAGGAAAUGAAGGAAGACCCAAAACCUUGGACUUUUAUUUAUCCACAUAAGAAGGGAAAAAGGCCCAAAACCCAACAAUUCUCCCCCUACCAACUAUGUGGAGGAAACCACCAUUCCGCGAUCAUGCAACAUUCUUCAAACUUCCCUCUUGGCAAAACUUUAGUCAUCAUGUCAGAACCAUUAUCAUUGGUAUGAAUUUUCUCAAAUUCAAGCAACUUAGAAUCCAACACAUCUCGAAUCCAAUGAUACUUCACAUCAGUGUGUUUAGACCGACCAUGAAAUGUAGAAUUCUUGCCAAGAUGAAUAGCACUUUGACUGUCGCAAUAAAGCACAUACCUCUCUUGAGCACAACCAAGUCCCCCCAAAAAUCUCUUCAUCCAAAUUAACUCUUUGCAAGCUUCAACUGCUACAAUAAGCUCAGCCUCUGUAGUAGAUAAAGCAACACAUUUUUACAAUCUAGAUUGCCAAGACACAACUCCCCCUGUAAAAGUAAUCAAGUAGCCUGAAGUAGACUUACGAGUACCAACAUCACCGGCCAUGUCUGAAUCAGUAUAACCACAAAGAAUAGGCUUUCCUAUGCCAAAAUACAAAAUCAGACUAGAAGUGCCGCAAAGAUAUCUCAUAAUCCACUAUACAACAUUUCAAUGAUCUCUUCCCAAAUUAAAAAGAAAAUGGCUAACAAUACCAACAACAUGAGCAAUAUUUGGUCUUGUACACACCAUUGCAUAAAUGAAACUACUAACAACUGAAGCAUAAGGAACUUUCUUCAUAUCUUCCUUCUCACCGUCACUGGAAGGACAAAGCUUAGUACUCAAUUUGAAGUGCAUAGCUAAAAGUGUACUGACAACCUUAGCUUUGUUCAUGUUAAAUUUACGAAGUACUUAUUGAAUGUACUUCUCUUGUGACAACCACAAUCUCUUGGCAUCUCUAUCACGAACAAUCUGCAUGCCAAGAGUCUGUCUUGCUGGUUCCAAGUCUUUCAUAGCAAAAGACUUAUUCAAAUCUUGCUUUAACUUUUUAAUCCUUCGAGCAUUAUGACCAACAACAAGCAUGUCAUCAACAUAAAACAAAACGAUAAUGAAGUCACCAUCAGAGAAUGUUUGCACAAAAACACAAUAGUCUGAAUAAGUCUUCUUGAAGCCCUGCUGAUUCAUAAAAGAACCAAACUUCAUGUACCAUUGCAUGUGAGUCACCAUGGAGAAAAUUAGUUUUAGCAUCCAUCUGUUCAACCUCGAAGUCCAUACUUGCAGCUAAGCCUAGAACCACACGGAUGGAUGACAUCUUCACAACUGGAGAAAAUAUCUCAUCAAAAUCAAUUCCCUUUUUCUGGUUAAAACCCUCCACAACUAAUCUAGCUUUGUACCGUGGAACUGAGUUACCAUCUUCAUGUUUCACACUAAAAAUCUACCUGUUUUUUAAAGAUUUUGAUCUUUAGGUAACAUAACCAAAUCAAAGGUAUGAUUAUCAUGUAGAGACUUCAUUUCAUCCUCCAUAUCAUCAAACCACCUUUCUUUUUCUUCACUUUCAUGGCCUCAUCAAGACUCUCUGGUUCUCUCCGGUCAGUCAAGAGUACAUAAUCAUUGGGAGAAUAACGAGAUGAAGGUAUUUUCUCUCUAGUAGAUCUUCUAAGAGAACUAUCUAGAGUAUCAAUAAUAGUUGGUUGUUGACAAACUACAUCGUCUUGCGCUGGAGCAUCAAUGCCAUAUUGGUCAUUCUGAAUAUGAUCACCAUCUUCAAUAUCAACUUGAUUUUCAUCAUUUUGAAGAUUUUCAUCUGGUGUAAUAGUUAAAGGUAUUGGAUCAACAUCAACUAGGCUCUCACUGUUCUGAGAAUAAACUUUCUCAACUUUGUCAAGAUCUUCAAUUUUUUGGUCUUCAAAGAACACAACAUCACGGCUUCUAAAAAGUUUCUUCUCAACUGGAUCAAAGAAACGAUAGCUGAAUUCAUCAUGACCAUAACCAACAAAGAUACAUUGCCUAAUUUUAACAUCCAACUUUGACCUCUCAUCCUUAGGAACAUGCACAAAGGCUUUACACCAAAAAACUUUAAAAGGAUCAUAAGAAAACCAAACUCUGUCAGGAACUUCACUAUUCAAAGCAACAGUAGGAGAUAAAUUGAUAACAUAGGCAGCAAUAUUAAUUGUUUCUACCAAAAAAGAAUCUGGCAGCUUAGCAGAUGAAAGCAUACAUCUAACCUUCUCAACAAGAUUUCUAUUUAUCCUCUCCGCUAAACCAUUUAGUUGAGGAGUCUUUGGAGGAGUUUUCUGAUGCCGAAUACCCUGCUCUCUACAAUAUCUAUCAAAAGAAUCAAUAUACUCACCACCAUUAUCAGGACGGAUACAUUUUAAUUUCUUCCAUGUUUGUCUCUCAACCAAGGCCUGAAUAUUCAUGAACACAAGAAGUACCUGAUCCUUGGACUUUAAAAAAAAUACCCAGAGUGUACGAGAAAGUCACAAAGUAAAGUGCACCACCAUGAGACUUUACCUUAAAAGGACCACACAAAUCAUAAUGUACCAACUCCAGCAAAUCGAGCUUUCUUGAAGGCGGAUGACUCUGAAAAGAAACUUUUUUCUGUUUACCGGCUAUGCAAUGAACACACUUGUUCAACUUUUCUUGUUUCACUCUAGAAAGUAAAUUCUUCUUAGCCAAAUUUUUCAUCCCAUUCUCGCUCAUAUGACUCAGUCUUCUAUGCCAUAACAAUGAUAAAGUAUCAUUCUCCACCACAUUUACUGAGCCUCUGAAAAUGGAGCCAUGAAAAACAUACAAGUUAGACAACUUGUCACCACAGACUACAACCAUUGAACCUCUAGUAAGCUUUCACUGGCUAGCACCAAGGGUAUUAACAUAACCCUCAUCAUUAAGGUAUCCAACAGAAAUCAAAUUCAAGCGAACAUUUGGAGCAUGUUUGACAUUAUUGAGAACUAGUUUGGAGCCACUAUUACUUUCCGAACAAACAGUCCUAAUACCAAGAACUCCAACUUCAUGAUUAUUGCUCAUUUUCAACAUUCCAAAAUUACCUGGAGUAUAAAAAGAAAAUAAUUCUUUCCUGGGCAUGACAUGAGAAUUAGCACCAGAAUCCACAAACCGGCUAGACUCAUCGCAAACAAGAUUGACGACAUUUACAUCAAAAGAAACAAGAAGGUCAUCGUUAGCAACAACAGCAACACAAUUUUCCUUAUCGCCUUCUUUAUUUUGUUGUUUCAUAUCUCUUAUAUAUGAAACAAUAUUUCUUGAUAUGCCCAUUCUUGUGGCAAUAGUCACAUGUAACAUUCUUGAAUCUGGACUUUGACUUUCCUCUACUUUUAUCUCUGUCAUUGUGACCUCUAAAUUUGCUUCUCUCUGUCUUUAGUAACCAAAACAUCGGUGUGAAGUUGAAGAAGAUGAGCCUUGCGAUCUUCUUCUCAUCUCUUCAUUCAAGACACCAUUCUUAGAAUAUUUCAUGGUCACAACACCACUGAGAGCAUAAUUAGUCAAACAAACUCGAAGAGUUUCAAAAGAGUCUGGCAGAGUAUUAAGAUGCCAUAGUCCCUGUAUUUCUUCAUCGAAUUUUACACCCAUUCCGGAUAAUUGGUCAAGAACACCCUGAAAAUCAUUAAUAUGAUGAGAAAUAGGAGUGUCUUUUUUAUACCUGAUGUUCAUCAAUUGUUUCAAAAGAAACAACUUAUUAUUGUCAGUCUUCGAAGUAUAAAGUGUCUCAAGCAAACAAUGUGAUUUCUCACAUUAUCUUCAACUCAUUGUUUGAUAUAGCCACAAACUUAUAGAUGCUCAAAUUUCCAAUCCUCAUUAUUCAUAGAUUCGGGUUUAUUAGAAGCAAACACAUGUAGAUGCAUCUUCUUAACAAAUAGAAGAUCUUUUAUCUUGCCUUUCCAAGUAUGAUAAUUACUACCAUUCAAACAAACCAUCUUGCUCAUAUUUGACCCCAUCAUUCAAACAGAUAAUCAACAACAACCCAAUGCUCUGAUACCACUUUGUUAGGAAAGACAAACACAAAAUAAAUGUGCACGACAGGGCAAUAGCGAAAGAAAAUCCAAGUCAAAACUUACCCUUCUAUUUGAACCAAGAUAAGACAAAAUAAUUUAAGAAUAAAACACUGUUUGGGCAGCAAACAAAUCAACCAAGCAAGAAAAAUAAAUCAACACAUGAGACACCAAAGUUUAACAUGGAAAACAUUUUCGGUGUGAAGAGUAAAAACCACAAGGCCAAAGCUCCACUAUAAUCAACAAGAGUUACAAAAGUGUUCUAAAAAAUGGUCACCAAUAAAAUGCCAAACAAUGAGCAACACAACUACAAGAUAGUACCAAAAAUAGAGAAAUAAAAAGGAGCAAAAACAACAAAUCAUAGCUACUCUUCACGAUAAAAAAUAUGGAGCUACAGGACUCCAAAUCACCCCCUCUCAGUUCCCAAUCAUAGAUUAAGUUGAAAGGAACAAGCUGUCCAAAAAUCAGCAUAAUCAGGUAAAAAACAAAGCGGGAAUCGCGAUUUGAAAUUGGCUGCUAGGGCUUGUGUGAGUUCACUUUCUCACUUCUCUUUAUAUGACUGCUCUCAAUCUCUUUUGAUAUCUGUAAAAUAAGACCUAAAAGAAAGUCUAACAUAUGCACCAUAAUGUUGGGCUUAUGGGCAAAAGUGGAAUAGUCAAAUUUGGGCUAAAUUAGUAAGACCUAAAACCUUGGAUUUUUAUCUAUUCACAUAGGAUGGAAAAAAGACCCAAAACCCAACACAUUCAAACCCCCUUCAGCGAAAAAAUAUUGUUAUUUAUACAUGGUUAAAAUUAUUUUUUUAUGUUUAUAUAGUAGAUGUCGAAUUCCUUGGAUUAAUUCGUGUAUUUGCUUCUUCAAAUUUUGAACCCCUUAUUAAUUAUGUGAUUGGAAGAAUGAAUGCAUCUUGUAGAAUUUUCAAGAAAAUUCUUUGAUGUUUUCCGUAUGAAAUGACCCGACCCAUUUGACAGAUUUAUUUCACAGAUUUAUUUAAGGCAAUAUGACAUUAUUUACUUUCUAUGAGGUUUUACUUGAUUAAUGAGGGAUAAUUGUAUUUUCUGACAGUUAUAAAUCCAAAGACAAAAACAAAAUUAAAAGAUUGUAUGGUUUAAAAAUAAAUGUCUUGCUUAUUUUAAUGGUUUAAUAAUUAAUAUAUAAUUAAUAAUCUUGUUUUUUUCUUUCUAACAUUUUUUUUUUUGGCCCUUUAUGUUCCCAUAGUUCCCACUAUGUAUCCAACAAAGAUACAUUCAUUGCUUUGCUUGGUUGAUACACUUCAAAAUCUUGGAGUACAUCGGCAUUUUAAAUCAGAAAUAAAGGAAGUUCUAGAUGAAAUAUACAGGUAAAUUAAAUAUAAUUAAUCUCAAUCAUAUUUUAUAAUUGACUAAAUAUUUAGAUAACCCCUUAAACUUGAUAGUAUAAGUUAAUAGAUACAUGAUGUUGAUUUUGUCGUGAUCAAAGAGAUAUUUUAACUUGACAAAAAAUGUAUAUUGCGAAUGCGCAUGUUCAUAGAGAGAAGAGAGUAUACGCAAAAAUGCCUUUGAUACACAUUAUUUGCCAGGCCAUCAAAAGAUACGCUUUUAUUAAGUUAAAAUGUUUAUCUGAUCAGUAGAAAAGUUAAAAUGUCUAGAUUGUAAAUUAUGCUAAGUUUAAGGGGUUAUCUAGGUAUUUCACCUUUACGAUUUUGUUAAGCCUAUAGUAUAUAAUAGUGUCAAUUAUUUAUAGGCUAUGGCAACAAAAGAAUGAAGAAAUUUUCUCAAAUGUCACCCAUUGUGCCAUGGCUUUUCGACUUCUAAGGAUGAGCAACUAUGAUGUCUCCUCAGGUUUGUUACUAAAAACUCGAGUCGAUUUUUCAGAUGAUCACUUACUAAUAAUUAUUUUCUCAGAAAAUCAAUUUUGUUGUUGAAGAAAAUUGAAAUCAAGAAAACAUAUGACGUUCUGAGAUAAUAACUAUAAUAUUAGCUGAGUUAUACCAUCUGAGAAAUUAAACCCUAAAAACUCCGACAACAAAGUAGUUUGCCUUCUAAUGAAUUCAAUUAAUUUGCAGAUGAACUAGCAGAAUUUGUGGUUGAAGAACAUUUCUUUGCAACAAGUGGGAAAUAUACAAGUCAUGUUGAAAUUCUCGAACUCCAUAAAGCAUCACAAUUGGCUAUUGAUCAUGAGAAAGAUGACAUUUUGGAUAAAAUUAACAAUUGGACAACAACUUUUAUGGAGCAAAAUCUCUUAAACAAUGGCUUCAUCGAUAGGAUGUCAAAGAAGGAGGUAUUUUAUUUUGUGUAUCUUAAUUUAUAUCGUGUAUAAAGUUUGGGAACGUAAAAAUAUAUAACUUUUGAAUCCUAUAGUUUAUAUAAACUAAAGGCUUACAUGUACAAUAAAGAAUAUUUUCUGAAACUUAUGAUUUUAAAAAUAUCAUGUCAUUAGGAUUGUUGAUAGAAUGAGAUGUUGAAAUUAUAACUUACGAAGUAUACAAAGAUAGUAUUUGGUACCACCACAUGAUCAAGAGUAGUAGUGACGAUGAUAUAAAUAGUAGUUAAAGUUAUUUUUUUCGUUACAAAGAAUAAUUUUAUAAUAUUCUAAAUCUCAUUUCUUAAGGUGCGAUACUUCCUUGAAUUAUAUAUAAAUACAAGAUAUUUUAUGUAUCGAACUAUAUUUUUCUUUUAUUCCUAAUUUUUGAAAUAUUAGGUGGAACUUGCUUUGAGGAAGUUUUAUACCACAUAUGAUCGAACAGAAUAUAGAAGGUAUAUCAAGUCAUACGAAGAGAACAAUUUUAAAAUCUUAAAAGCGGCUUAUAGGUAUGAUUAUCUAUCAUUAUCACUUGUAAAUUCAUUUUAAUUUCUAUUUAUGUUAAAUCAUUGUAGUGAAGUGAUAAAUUAAGGAAAGAAUAUAUGGAGUAUUAAUCAAUAAUUUCAUGAUAAUAAUGUGUAUAUAUAACUAACUUGUGUCAUGUAUUUAUUGAGUUGGUAUCAUAUACUCGAUGUAACUUUAUAAUAUAAAAAAUAAACAAUAGGUACUCUAUAGAUGUCGGGAUAAGAUAUGAGAUUAGAUGUGUCAACUGGACGGAUUAGAUCAAAAUUAAGUGGACAAACCCCUUAGAUGUGAGGUUUGAAGUUUUUGCAAUCAAUUAAAGAAGUUUUCAAUGAUAAGAGCUACAAAAAUAGGCUGGCUAGACAACAAGCACAAUCCAAGAUUCCAAUCAAGUUGCGAUCAAGGUUGAAUAUGCGCCCCUACAUGACAUAAUACAAAUCAUCUUGAGUGUAUCUCAUACUAACUAUCAUAUAGGACACAUUUGUUUAUUUGUUCAAUUUUAUACAAGUUUAAGUUCAUGUGUGCACACAAAGUUGAACGACAUAAAUAUCAGUUAAAGCCGAAUUAAAAAACGCAUUUAUAUAUUAUGUCCCGCAAGUUCUAAUUUAAGUCUUUCUCUCUAUUAGGUCACCCAACAUUAACAAUAAGGACUUGUUAAUAUUUUCAAUACAUGACUUUGAAUUAUGCCAAGCUCAACACCGAGAAGAACUUCAACAACUCAAGAGGUAUCUAUUGACACUUUUUUCUUUUUAGUCCGUUUAAAAAAUGACAAUUUUUUUUUAUAUUUAGUGACAACUUAACUUAAAUUUUCUAUUUUACUUUUAAUAAAAUAAUUUAUAAUUACACAGAUAUUUAUAAUUUAUUUGAUACCAUAAAUUUCAAAACUCAUUUUUACCUAAUCAAAUCCUAAUUAAGGCUUAUUUAUCCAUCUUCAUUGUGGCCUUAACCUUCUUAGGUAAGAAAACUACCACCAUGACGAUGAAUUUUUUUUUCCCUUCUUAAACUUCAUGUGAAGUCAAACAUCUUCAUGUAUACGAAUGUAGGUGGUUUGAAGAUUGUAGAUUGGACCAACUCGGACUUUCAGAACAAUUAAUAUAUACUAGUUACUUAAUUUGUGUUGCUAUUGUCACCGACAUUGAAUUCUCCGAUGCUCGUCUCAUGUACGCGAAAUACGUCAUGCUCCUGACUGUUGUCGAUGAUCUUUUCGAGAGUUUUGCAUCUGAAGAUGAAUUGCUCAACAUCAUUGAAUUAGUAGAAAGGUAUUUCUUAUGAAGUUAUAAGCUCGUCAAACUGACUUAGUUUGACUUAUAAGCCUUUUUAAAGCUUAUUUAUGUGUUUGGUAAUUAAGCACCAAAAUACUUAAGAUAUUUUUCUUGAAACAAAACUCUUUUAACUUCCUCUUUACAUUGUAUUCAUCGUUCCUCUUUUUUUUUAAAAAAAAAUAAAUUAAAUUGUAAGGGUAUUUUAGUUAUUCUAAAAAUAAAAUAAAAUAUAGCUUAUCAGCAUUUUUUAAUUAAACAUAUCAAAUGGAGUACUUAUUAACAGUUUCAAUAUUUUUAUCCAAUCACAUAAUUGUGUAUUCAUAAAAUUAGUUUCAACACUUAAAAGUUUAUCGAUUAUUAUUUACAGGUGGGAUGACUAUGCAAGUGUAGGUUAUAAUUCUGAGAGGGUUAAAGUUUUCUUUUCAAUUUUUUACAAAUCAAUAGAGGAGCUUGCAACAAUUGCUGAAAUUAAACAAGGCCGAUCUGUCAAAAAUCACCUUACUGAUUUGGUAAGAGAAUUAUUCUCUAACUUCCCUCUUUAAUUUUAUUUUUUAUACAUUUGUUUGUCUUACUGUAUUUAAAAAAGAAUAUCUCUUUUCUAAUUUUGCAUGUCUUUAAUUUUCACAUUCAACGUAUCAUAUUUAAGAUCAUAAAAUUAAAUGAUAUUUUGAUACAUUAAGCAUAUUUUUAAUUUAUGACCACAAGAUUCAAAAAUCAUUUUUACUUUUGUUUUUCUUACUUUUCUUUUUAGUGUGUUUACAAAAAGAAUGUCUCUUUCUAAUUUGGAACUCUUUAAUUUCAACAUUCCAUGUGACAUCUUUAAUUUUGGUAUAAUAAGCACAUCUUUAAUUUUAACUGCACAAAAGUCAAAAAAAAAUUUUACUGUCUUAAAUUUGUUGGGUUUUAAAAGGUGUGAAUGAAAAUUGAAGAGUUUCGACUUUUAUGAAGAGUUGUGACUUUUAUGAAAAAUUGCAACUUUUAUGAAGAGUUGUGAUUUUUAUGAAAAGUUGUGACUUUUAUGAAAAGAGAAAAUACAUAAUUACCCCAUCAAACUUGUACCAUUUUUUGAAGUAGACACCUAAAAUUUGUGAGGGUUCUAUUACCCCACGAAACUAUUUAUAUUCAUGAUAAAUACACCCUUUUCAGCCAUUUUUACUGCAAUUGUGUUCUCACGAAAACUGAGCGCGUGAAGGAGUAAUAUUACAGCCCCAAACCAGUGUUAAAAUACCAUGUGGCAUUUUUAAUUUGAUUUUUUAAUUAAUAAAUUAGACCCAUCUUCUCAUCUUCCCCAAAUCACCAUUAAUAGCCUUUUAAGAAGCUUUUUCAACAUGCCAAAAAUUAAAAACCACCAUUCUUGCUCAAAUUUUAUAUUUUAAAAUGCGAUAUUAUUAGAUUCUAUCUUCUUCUUUUUUAAACUUAACCAAGUAGUUUUCUCUUUUCUAAAAAUUAAAGAUCGAAAAUGGUGAUGCUAAUAGAUAAAGAAGGCGAUUUGGGAUGAAGAUGAUAAUUUAAAUUUUGGUUUGAUAGAACUUCUAACUUUCAUAUUUUGAUUAUUUGUCAAUGAUUUAGUAGUGAUUAAGUAGUGCAGUGAUGGAGUGUUUUCACUAUGAUUUGUGGUGGUGGAAUUCAAAAAAUCAAUUUCGAGAAGUCAAAGGCCAAGUAGAAAUUUAAAAGAGAAAAAAUUCGAAAAAGAAAAGAAAAGAAAUAAAAAUAGAAAAUUAAAGGCAAAAAUGAAAAGAAUUAAAAGUUAAAUAGUGAAUGACAGGUGAUAGAUUAGGGUUGGUGCGUGAUUUGUACAUGCGUUAUUACAACUGGGAAUGACCGAAAAAGGGGGUGUAUAUGCUACUUUAAAAUGAUUUCCUGGGGUAACAGGACUCCCGCAAACUUUAGGUGUCUAAUUCAAAAAAUGGUAUAAGUUCGAUGGGGUAAUUAUGUAUUUUCUCUUAUGAAAAGUUGUGACUUUUAUGAAAGAUUAUGACCUUUCCAAAAGAUUGUGACUUUUCCAAAGGGUUGUGACCUUUCCGGUAAGGAACAAUAAGAACCUUUUCACACUACCCUCUGUUGUCUAUAAAUAUUGGGAUUUCCUCUCAUUUUAAGAGAGCCAAUUUUCUGGACUUCUUCUACUACUACUAAAUCUAGUAUUCUAAGUGUACUUUACUGUAGUUGAGUAGUUCGCUGACACCGUGAUUUUAGGUACCGAUACACCAGUGAGUAAGAUCAUUCUAUCCUGGGAGGAUAUAUUCCAUUAACCUCGGGUAGUUGAGAGGAAUAAUUUCUUUAAGGGGACACUGUGCAUUCAGUGGGCUCGAUUUUCUUCUUUAAGAAAAAUAUUUUGUAUACUGUUCCUAAUCUGUUUCCAAUUCUAUUUUCUCUUCUAGUUUUAAUUUUCUAGUUUUGAAAAUACUCUUUAAAUUUUGUUGUUUCUUAUCAAGUUCUUCAAAGUUUUUGUUCUAAGUAUCUUAGGAAUACAGGAUGAACAACAAAAUUAUCUACCUAGUUAACUAAGACAAACAAAUUGAAUCAGAAAAACUAUUUCAAUUGCUUCUAAUUUAUUUUCUUAAACGCCGUGUCUACGAUCAUACAAUUUUAAUAGUGGCUUGAAGUGAUGAAGUGGAUGUUGAUUGAACGACUAGAGUGGUGGACAAGCAAGACGAUACCAAGCAUAGAAGAGUAUUUGUAUGUUACUUCUAUAACAUUUGGUUCAAGAUUGAUUUCUCUCACAACACAAUAUUAUCUUGGAAUAAAAAUCUCCAAGGAUAUUUUAGAAAGUGAUGAAAUAUAUGGCUUAUGGAAUUGUAGCGGUAGAGUCAUGCGACUCCUCAAUGAUUUACAAGCUUCCAAGGUAACAACUCUUGUAUUUUUUUAAUAUUAAUUUGGCUCAUAGAGAUAAUUUUCAUCAUGUGAUAUUGGAUAAGCAUCAUCAUACAAUUAUAUAAAAUAAAACUUAUCACUUGGAUAUAUAUAUAUAUAGGGGUGUGUUGGGUAUGAAAAAUGUUUUCCAGAAUAAUAAAUUAAUUCCUUAUUUUUUAUACUAAAUAAAUAAUAUUACCUAAAAGAAACAUUUGUAUAUCAUUUAGAUAAAUUCUAUGGAAGCUAAGGUGGAGUUGGUCGAUGAGAGGUAGGGGAUGUGGGCCUGUAGGGUGGUGGGGAUGAGGGCUAGGGGUGAAGUAAAGACGAUUAGAUUUGUUGGAGGAUAGAAAAGAGACAAUCAAUCAAUGUAAAAUACCACUUGUGAAAACAUAUUUUUCUUACUUCCAGCAAAAAAGUCAUUUUCUUCUAUACCGAACACACCUAUAGUGUUAAAUUUUCUUUUCAUGUCAAAACAAUCAACUUGUCAAUACAAAACCUUAGACUACUGAGUGAUGAGAUGCUAAUUUAGAAUUUUAAAUUUAUAGAUUUUGUUUCUUAUUGAAUUCUGAAUAAAUUAUUUAUAUUAUUGUUAUAAAGACAUAAAUUGAACCUAAACUAUUGAUUUUUACCGAACUCAUAACAUCUUCUAUGCCUCCAUUAUAGUACAUGUCUUUUUUAGUACUCCACAUAUUGAAACAUAUAUUAAUAUUGGUGGAUUGUUUCCCACAUGUUUUCCUACAGAGAGAACAAAAGGAGGGCUCAAUAAAUUUAGUCACAAUACUAAUGACAAAUAUCUCUGAGGAAGAAGCUAUAAUGAAGAUAAAGGAAAUCUUGGAAAGUAAUAGAAGGGAGUUGUUGAAAAUGGUUUUAGUUCAAAAAAAGGGAAGCCAAUUGCCUCAAUUAUGCAAAGAAAUAUUUGGGAGGACAAGCAAAAUGGCUUAUUUCACUUAUUCACAUGGUGAUGAAUAUAGAUUUCCAGAGGAAAUGAAGAAUCACAUUGAUGAAGUCUUUUACAAACCACUCAAUCAUUAAUCCCUCAUUUUGAAUUUAUGAGUUUUGUUCUUUCCUUCUAUUUCAACUAGUAAACUUGUUUGCACUUCGCGCGAUAAUAAAAAAUCUCUAUAAACUUGUGUUUUUUUUUUUUUGGUAAAUCAUUAUCUAAUACCUCAAUAUUAUAAAAAAUCUAAAAGUAUAUUUUGCUCUUUAUUGUUUGUUCGAAAAGAUAAUACAAACGUACAAGUCUAUCUUUAAUUUUGAAAACGAAACCCUAGCUUUGCUUUUCUUGUGGUUUGUUUUUCUGAGUUUAGGAGGGGGGGGGGGGGUUUAAGAGCGUAUACAAGGAAAAAAACUGAGUACUUGAUGAAAUAUAUAUAUUAUUCCCCUAAUAGAAGUUAAAGUGUCGUGUCUUAGAUUUAAGACGGAUGGGAAAAUACCAAAACAACCUCAAUUAAAAAGUUGUAAAAAAACCUUCAAUGAGGGUCAUCUAUGGCCCGUGAUUUGAUCUACGAACUGUAGAUCCCAUCCGUAGAAGUUAGGAUGCAAUUUUGAGUUUCUAAAAUCCAUUCUAUGAACCCAAAUUACAGCUUGUAGUUGGGUUUACGAUUCAUAAUAAGAUCUGUGAAAAUCAGGCCAAAAACAAGUUUCUAAACUUCAUUUUACGGGUUCAAAUUACCGCCCGUAGAUGGAUUUACGACCUAUAAUUGGGUCCGUGAAAGUCAGACCAGAAAAAUCAGUUUCUGAAGUUUGUUUUAUAUACAAGUCCAAGCUAUGGUCCGUACUUCAAUUUACGAUCCGUAAAUGGAGUUCGUAGUUGUCAAACUCUGAAAACUUAAUUGGAGUAGUUUGGUAAAACCUCCAUAACUUUUUACUCCGAACACUUAUUGACACAACCUUGGGGGCAUUCAAAAAAAGACUCAUAGGCCUUUAAUUUGAUAGGUCAUGGCCACUAUUCAUUAUAUGUUGAGAGCUAUAGUCGUUUGAAGUUGACUCGUGCAUGAACUAAUGAGAAAAACUUAGUCGGUAGGAUGGUUUUGAACUCAACUUAGUACUAAAGGUCUCUUAUGACCCUAAACCACUUCUCACACAUAGGAAUGAACCUUAACACAUAAGAACAAGUAGGACAAUACCCGGUUCAAGCUUAUAUACUUACAACGAAAGAUUUGAAUUACAAGAGUAGAGUUGCGAGAUGUUACAAAUAUAUAUAUAGCGAUAAUUAUAGUACUACCACUAAAUAGUUACUGAAAAGUUUUUUAUUUGUUGUAGUCUAAAACACAUAAAACAAGACAUACAAGGGGCUAGGUCUAAAAACUAACAAUGGUUUUCAAUAUGUAUCCACCAAAACGUCUAUGCCUUUGUUGAAAGUUAAGUAUUGC
rnacentral:lncRNA from 1 species